UACAGAGGUGGCAAGCGUUGUUCGGAAUUACUGGGCGUAAAGGGCGCGUAGGCGGCCAUCUAAGUCAGACGUGAAAUCCCCCGGCUUAACCUGGGAACUGCGUCUGAUACUGGAAGGCUUGAGUAUGGGAGAGGGAUGUAGAAUUCCAGGUGUAGCGGUGAAAUGCGUAGAUAUCUGGAGGAAUAUCGGUGGCGAAGGCGGCAUCCUGGACCAUUACUGACGCUGAGGUGCGAAAGCGUGGGGAGCAAACAGG
rnacentral:rRNA from 1 species